UUGGUUGUCCCAUGGCUUUGGGCUUGUAUGGAGGCAGAUCAUCAUGGUGGGGCGGUAUGGGGGCAUAAAGCUGCAUACCUCACAAUGGGUGAGAAGCAAAGAGAAGAACAGGGAGACACAGGACCAGGCUGUGACCAUCCAUGGCUACUUCAAGUUCUAAUUAUCAGAUUUUAUCAACAUCUGAUAUGAUCUCUUGGAGUCCAGGCUGACCUUGAACUUGCUAUGGAGCUGUCUGUGUGUGUGUGCGUGUGUUGCACCGGUUCGCGUGUGCACUUGGAGACCUGAGGGUUUCUUCCUUUGUUACUAAGAACCCAGAGCUUGCUGAUUGCAUCAGUAUCACUGACUCUGAGAAUCCCCUUUUCUGCCUCCCGAGUGCUAGGGUUAUACGCAGCCUCCACUCCCACACAGCUUUUCUGUGGGUACUUGGAGGCCUGUACUCUGGUUCUCAUGCCUGCGUGGCCAACGUUUUACCCACUGAGAUGUCUUCCCUGCUCUCUCUCUCUCUCUCUCUCUCUCUCUCUCUCCUUCUUUCUAAAAGUCAAGUCCUGGGGACACGUGGUGCACAGCCAUACAUGCAGGCAAAACACCAGCACACAUAAAAUAAAAAUAAAGGUUAAAUAAACAGGGGCUAGAGAGAUGGCUCAGAGAUUAGGAACACUGGCUGUUCUUCCAGAAGACUCGGAUUUAAUUCUCAGCAUCCAAAUGGCAGCUGACAACUGUCUGUGACUCCAGUUCCAGGGGAUCUGAAGCCCUCUUCUAGACAUACGUGCAGAUGAAAACCUUGGCAGAAGGAGAUUUAUUUGGUACCGUGAGCUUCUCUUGUAAAUAGCUCCCCGGGUGCCGUGUCUACAACCCACCUGUCAGCCCUUGGAGUGGAGGAGGCUGUGUGUUAUUGAUCCCGACCUGUGGCUGCACCCAGCAUGGUACUAGUAUCUAGCAGGUCAUAGAUGGCUGUCACUGUGGAGAAGUCAAUGCCGCAGGAACUUGAAGCAGCCUCUCACAUCUGCAGUCAAGAGCUGGAAGUGGGAGGACUUCUGUUCAGGUAGAGCCAGAUUCCUGUGUUCUCCCACACUCCUCCUUUUGCCAAGCCAGCCCUCUUCUAGUGCAUGCAGCCAUUCAACACGGACUGCUUGUGGCUCGCAGAACUGCGUUUGGAUUGGAGAGGGUGUCGAUUCAGGACAACAGCAUCGCCAUCAUCGGACACUCUCAACAGCUGCCUGUGGAUGCCAGCAGAUGUGUGUACUUCCUGCCAGUGGGAGCCUUUAUAUCACUGGUAUGAGAAGAAUAAUGAAAGACAGGAGAAACGGCCAACAGAAAGCUGCGUGAUGAAAAUUCACAGCUUUGACUAGAGCCCUCAGCACCAAAAGCAGGAGAUCAUGGAGGGUUUAUUCCAAGAAAGCCAGCUCUAAUUCUUUCAAAAGUAGCCCUGGGCUAAGAGGGCUCAGAACAGAACCCCACUGAGCCCAAAGAGUAGUUUGUUCUUGAGCCACAGAACUGCAUCGCUCCAAGGGGCCUCGGGGUCAUAUUAGUACAAUGGAGUGGAAAACGCAGAGCGACAGGGGAGGCUAAAACCUGCUUGAAGUGAGAGCCUUUCACUCAUCUGAGAGAAUUAGAGAAAGGCAGCCCUUUUCAGGGAGAUACAGCCCUGUGCUAAGGGGCAUAAGGUCGGAAGCUAAACACAGGCUGGGUGUCAAACCCCCACUUGCCUGCUCAGGUGGGUGAUGUCCCGCAGAAAAUAACCUGUCUGGCUAUGCAUGGAGACAAUGACGUCAGCAUCUAACCUGCCUGACUACACAUGGAAACAAUGACGUCAGCAUCGUACUGCCAUGGAAUUGAGAUUAGAGCCUGUUGCUGCAUCUUUCUUCUCUGGUAGGGGGCUGAGAUAGAAAGCCUCCCCUCUCCACAUACUGUUCAGGUAAAAGCCAAGAUGGCAGCUUGGGGCCAUCCAUGGCUUUUUAAAAAAAACCUUUUUGUCGUUCAUGUUUAUUUCAAUUAAAAAUAAAACAACCAAAUAUAUUUUUA